rnacentral:lncRNA from 1 species
ACCCGUGUCGGAUCCUCCAAAAAUAUACUACUUUUGGAGGAUCUGACACGCACCCAUCGACAUUUUCGGAGAGUCCGAGCAACAUAGUAAACCAACAAAAUAAGAGGUGCUUACUCCCAUCUGCUCUAUACACUACCUUUCUUGUUCUUCUUUAAUCCUUUAUUUUCUUUCUUUACACCAGGGAUCAUGAGAGAAAGUAGAAACACCAUUCAUUGGAAACAGAUAAAGGACCCCCGAAAUUAGUAGAAACUUUCCAUACAUUAAUGCAGUUCAAAUAUAUCUUAUUU